GGCCUCUUGAUAAUAAUUUUAGGUCUGACCUGCCCACUGAGCAAUUAAAUGGCCGCGGUAUACUGACCGUGCAAAGGUAGCAUAAUCAUUAGUUUUUUAAUUGGAAGCUAGAAUGAAGGGUUUGAUGAGGAAAAUUCUGUCUCUAUGAAAAUUAUUUAGAAUUUUAUUUUUAAGUGAAAAAGCUUAAAUUUUUAUAGAAGACGAGAAGACCCUAUAGAGUUUUAUAAGUGCCUUUAAAAUAAAAUUUUUGGUUUUAAAUAACUUAUUUUAAAUGAAUUUAUUUAGUUGGGGUGACGGAAAAAUUAAGUUAACUUUUUUUAGUACAUAAACAUUAAUUUAUGAGCUAAUGAUCCUAAAUUUUAGAUUAAAAGAUAAACUACCUUAGGGAUAACAGCGUAAUUUUUUUUAGAGUUCUUAUCAAAAAAAAAGAUUGCGACCUCGAUGUUGGAUUAAAAUAAAUUAUUGGUGAAGAAGCUAAUAAAUUAGGUCUGUUCGACCUUUAAAAUUUUACAUGAUCUGAGUUUAAACCGGCGUGAG
rnacentral:rRNA from 1 species